rnacentral:pre_miRNA from 1 species
UAAAGUGCUUAUAGUGCAGGUAGUUGUUUGUGUAUUCUACUGCAUUAUGAGCACUUAAAGU